UACGUAGGGUGCGAGCGUUGUCCGGAAUUACUGGGCGUAAAGAGCUCGUAGGUGGUUUGUCGCGUUGUCCGUGAAAACUCACAACUCAAUUGUGGGCGUGCGGGCGAUACGGGCAGACUGGAGUACUGCAGGGGAGACUGGAAUUCCUGGUGUAGCGGUGAAAUGCGCAGAUAUCAGGAGGAACACCGGUGGCGAAGGCGGUUCUCUGGGCAUGAUCUGACGCUGAGGAGCGAAAGUGUGGGGAGCGAACAGG
rnacentral:rRNA from 1 species